UGGGUGUUAUACAUUUUCUUGAGAGGCAUUAGCGAUGGAAAUCCGCUCUCAAUUAACAAAUUGUGUGGUGGUGCUGUGCUGUCCGUGUCUGGGAUUAUUUUGUGUUUCUUUUUGAGUAAAAGUUAAACAAACGUUGGCUGCGAUGAGGGGAAAGCUAUAAAAUGCAUUAAUAAAAAUGAACUCUCACAUGAGGAAAGCUGAAGGGGCAUUGAGAAGGCAUCCAGGCAUCUUGCAGCUUCUUUGAACUCCCUCUUGUAAGGAUUCCCUUGCCUCUCUGAUGUCACACUGGAGACUUGAAGGUCUAUCAUCCUGUUUGAUUACAGAACCACAUACAAGUAGAUACAGAAGCUGUAAGGAAGCAGCAAGAAGGAGAAGAACUCUAGGGCUGAAACAGAAGUGGUGGUAGGGUAAGACGUCAUCCUGGUAUCUUGUGAAAUGAACAUUAAGAUUCUUGUCCACUGUUGAGAUAGCCCUUCCUAAAUGAUGUCCACAUAAUCCUGAACUGGACAAAGUGGUACUGAAGAUGAACGAUUGCAGGUUAAAAACCAGGAAGACAGGGAAUUCUACGGAAGCGGCACAACAUAAGCCUAUUAUCAUCAGCCAUACAACUUGUGCAUCUGCAGCCUGAAUAUGGAGUACAGACCACAGUGAACUGCAAGGAAAAUGUCUUCUCCCGCACUGUAACUGUCAGUUAGCUCUUCAGUUUUCCACUGUUCUAAAUAAACCACCUCACAUGG